CCUACGGGGAGCAGCAGUGAGGAAUAUUGGUCAAUGGACGAGAGUCUGAACCAGCCAAGUAGCGUGAAGGAUGACUGCCCUAUGGGUUGUACACUUCUUUUAUAUGGGAAUAAAACGUUCCACGUGUGGGAUUUUGUAUGUACCAUAUGAAUAAGGAUCGGCUAACUCCGUGCCAGCAGCCGCGGUAAUACGGAGGAUCCGAGCGUUAUCCGGAUUUAUUGGGUUUAAAGGGCACGUAGGGGGUUUGGUAAGUCAGUAGGGAAAGUUUGGGGCUCAACCUUAAUAUUGCUGUUGAUACUGUAAGUCUAGAGUAUAAUAGAGGAUUGCAGAAUUCCUGGUGUAGCGGUGAAAUGCGUAGAUAUCAGGAAGAAUUCCGAUAGCGAAGGCAGCUAUCUGGCUUGAAACUGACGCUGAGGUGCGAAAGCGUGGGUAGCAAACAGGAUUAGAUACCCCGGUAGUC
rnacentral:rRNA from 1 species